UAAGUUAUCCACCUGGGGAGUACGUUCGCAAGAAUGAAACUCAAAGGAAUUGACGGGGGCCCGCACAAGCGGAGGAACAUGUGGUUUAAUUCGAUGAUACGCGAGGAACCUUACCCGGGCUUGAAAGUUAGCGACGGAUCUUGAAAGAGGAUUUCCCUUCGGGGCGCGAAACUAGGUGCUGCAUGGUUGUCGUCAGCUCGUGCCGUGAGGUGUCGGGUUAAGUCCCAUAACGAGCGCAACCCCUACCGUUAGUUGCCAUCAGGUGAAGCUGGGCACUCUGGCGGGACUGCCGGUGUAAGCCGAGAGGAAGGUGGGGAUGACGUCAAAUCAGCACGGCCCUUACGUCCGGGGCUACACACGUGUUACAAUGGUAGGUACAGAGGGUCAGCUACCCAGGAUGGGAUGCGAAUCUCGAAAGCCUAUCUCAGUUCGGAUUGGAGGCUGAAACCCGCCUCCAUGAAGUUGGAUUCGCUAGUAAUCGCGCAUCAGCCAUGGCGCGGUGAAUACGUUCCCGGGCCUUGUACACACCGCCCGUCAAGCCAUGGGAGCUGGGGGUGCCUGAAGUUCGUGACCGCAAGGAGCGACCUAGGGCAAAACCGGUGACUGGGGCUAAGUCGUAACAAGGUAGCCGUACCGGAAGGUGCGGCUGGAACACCUCCUUU
rnacentral:rRNA from 1 species